rnacentral:rRNA from 1 species
CAAGCACAGGAGAGCUUGCUCUCUGGGGUGGCGAGUGGCGGACGGGGUGAGGGAAAUGCAUCGGAAAUCUACUCUUCGUGGGGGAUAACGUAGGGAAACUUACGCUAAUACGCAUACGACCUACGGGUGAAAGCCGGGGACCUUCGGGCCUGGCGCGAAUGAAUGAGCCGAUGCCCGAUUAGCUAGUUGGCGGGGUAAGAGCCCACCAAGGCGACGAUCGGUAGCUGGUCUGAGAGGAUGAUCAGCCACACUGGAACUGAGACACGGUCCAGACUCCUACGGGAGGCAGCAGUGGGGAAUAUUGGACAAUGGGCGCAAGCCUGAUCCAGCCAUACCGCGUGGGUGAAGAAGGCCUUCGGGUUGUAAAGCCCUUUUGUUGGGAAAGAAAAGCAGUCGGUUAAUACCCGAUUGUUCUGACGGUACCCAAAGAAUAAGCACCGGCUAACUUCGUGC